rnacentral:rRNA from 1 species
UAAUACAGAGGUCUCAAGCGUUGUUCGGAUUCAUUGGGCGUAAAGGGUGUGUAGGUGGCGCGCUAAGUCGGGUGUGAAAUUUCGGAGCUUAACUCCGAAACUGCAUUUGAUACUGGCGUGCUUGAGGACUGGAGAGGAGACUGGAAUUUACGGUGUAGCAGUGAAAUGCGUAGAUAUCGUAAGGAAGACCAGUGGCGAAGGCGGGUCUCUGGACAGUUCCUGACACUGAGACACGAAGGCCAGGGGAGCAAACGGGAUUAGAUACCCCGGUAGUCCUGGCAGUAAACGGUGCACGUUUGGUGUGGGAGGAUUCGACCCCUUCUGCGCCGGAGCCAACGCGUUAAACGUGCCGCCUGGGGAGUACGGUCGCAAGAUU